ACCUCCAGCUCUAAUCUGAAUCUCCAGGGGCCUCAAGCACACCAGUGCUUAUAUUCAAUUUCUCUCCUCAUCCCUCACAAACAACCCUUGAUUCAGCCUUCAAGACGAGAUGAAUACACCUCAGUAUAUUCCACUGGAGAAGACUAAACUAGGCCUUGAAAAUGGGUUUAAUGCCUUUGGAGCAGUGAGUUUCUGAGCCUGAAGAACCCUGAGUGUGAUCUAGAAGGAGCAAAAAGAAUUUUGCCAACGAAAGUGCUAUAAACAGCCGUGCCCUCACUGAAAAAGGCAAUAUGCCGUCAGCCUGACAUAUACCUCGCUUUUCCGCUCAUUGUCAACACAGUGAUUGAUGGUGUAGUUCAUUAAUGUGGGACGAUUGUCAGCUUUUCCUGAGUAAAUAUAAAAAGAAACAAAGAAAUCUCCACCCUUUUCAAGCCACAGUAAAUUAUUUUCUAUUUUCCAGGCUUAGAUUUAAAGAUCCAUAGGGCAUUCAUCUCAAAAUAAAUAAUGAACAUACCCUUUAAUGGAAGAAUUUUCGUUUGAAUUCAGGGCUGAAAUUUUUUUUAUAUGUAUAGGAAAGGAGAAAAGAAUGCUAUUCAAAAGGAUAAAGAGAUUUAGGCACCUAAAACUGUACAUUAAAGCAAUGCUUCACCUUUAGUAUACAUAGUCAUGUAAAAUGUAGGAAAUUAUCACCUUUGGAAACCCAUAAAGUAUAAAGAAUCUGUCCUGGGCUAAAGCACACGUAAUAAGAAUCACAAGGAAGGGAGAGCAGCGGAGUGGAUGGAUGGGUAGCGGACUAAUUUAUAGCUGAGUAGGAAAGCUGAUUAAAACCAGUGCACGUCAAAAGGAAAUUUAAUGGAAAUAAUCAAAAUAGAUUUUUUUUUUCGAUUUCUUUUUACUCAUGAUGCAAGUUCGGAAUGUUUCGUUGCCAGACGCAUUUACAUAUAUCAGCUGAAGAAAGGUAAAAUGGACACACCAUGGCCCCAUUGGUCCUUUUAUCAAGAGGGACUGCCUCUGAUUUUCCUCUGUGCUGGCGCUCUUGUCUUUCAGUCUGUUUAAACUGCUUUAAUUGGGUCUUCGCUAACUCCGUUGUCACAAGAUCAACAAACACCAUCGGGUGUGUCUUGCUUUUAGCUUUGGUGUACAAAAAGCAACAACCGAAACAAAAACAUCCUCCUACAUAUGGUGCUCACGGGCUGAUGAACAGGCAGCAUAUCUCUCUGGGUAUUCUGCUCCUAUACAGAUUUUCUUGGGUGGUAAUGUGCUAAUGACAAUAAUAAUUUAUUCUGAAGAUGUGCUAAAUUUCUUGAGUUGAAUUGUGAAGUAUUUUGAAUACCACUGGAAGGCAUGGGAAACUGAGAACUGCAGGAACAACUGGCAUUCUGCCACCUCUUGAACAUGCGAUCUGAUUGUAAGAGAAGGUGAUUAUUGAGGACUAACCAGCAGAUCUCAGAUGAUUUCCCCUGAAAAGACAGCUUGCCUGAGUAUCAUCCAUUCUUGGAGCACAGAUGUAUGGUUCUGUUCUCUGGCUAUCCUAACUCUUAACAAGCCCUUACAGAGACAUACCAAAAUCAUGUUCUACAUUCAAGAUGGCACUAUCAGAAUUGCCGUUCCUGAUUUAUCUGACACAAUCUCAAUGUCAUCUCCACAGGGAGUGGAUCCAAAGAAAGCAGGAAAAUGCAGAAAGCCACACUGGAAAGCAAGAGCCGCCAUAAGCCUGGUAACGGGAUGAUGUACACCACACGGCUCUAAUUGAAAAAAGCUGCCAAGAAACAAUACCGAGGGGGAAAUCAUAAACACUGUUUUUUGGGAUCACUUAAGAAGGUAACCUUCAUGAAUCUCCAACUUCUGUUUACAGAGAAGGAAGUUACAACUUAAAGUCCAAUUCCUUGCGAAUUAAAGACACACGCCAUCGAACAGUAGAAAAUGCCACGAGGACUCUGGGGGAGGGUGAGUCCUGCUCCUGUUCCUUUUCGAAUCUGGAGGAUGAUUUGAAUUGCAUCAGGGUCACCAUAUCUGAGGGAGUUUUCCCCGCCGCCCGACUUUAUUUCACAUUUCAAACACAACGCUGCUUUUAUGAAAACCCAGCUUAAAUAUUAAUGUGUGUUUUCUUAAGGAAGUGGAAGGCAAAUCAACUUCCUGGUACCCAGGGUAUCUGAUUUCUAAAAUGGUCUAACACUGAUUGUCACAGCUCCUCCAGAUGUGAGGGGUGAAGCUCUAUAAAACGGAAAGGCCGGCUUUCAGGCUCACUGCUGUGCGGGUCCCACGCCCCCCCGAAGCUGCAUCCUCUGAGAGUAUAUUUUUGUUAGCUGUCUGCCGGAAGCCCUCAACUGCCCGAGUUGUUUUGUGAUCCUAUAAGGACCUUCCCAGCCCUGCUGUCAGCCCUGAAAUCAAGAGUGUGUUUGUGUGAGUAAGUUGGGGGGGUUGGGGCUGGUUAAAAUAAUAAGUAUUAUCAUCAGCAUCGCAGCUUCAGCAGAAUGAAGGUGGGUGGGGUACAAAGAACGGGGCUCCAAAGUUUGCUAAAAAGCCUAUUUUGAGCAAACCUUUGUUCUACACACUCCUGUUACCUCCUGCAUCCAGAAACAAUGUCUUUUGUUACUCACCCCCUUUUCUUCGACUGCUGUGUUUGUUUACUGACAUUUUCAAUACCGGGCAAUACAAAGAGUAUUUCCUCAUAUUAACUCCAAAUGUCACAAAGAACAAAAUUUGGAUCUAAAGAAGCCUGUCUAACCAGAUAAGAUGCCCUCAGCUAAGAAAAAUAUAAUGAAAAUAAAUCUUGCUCUUUAAUGUGGACCACAGAGCCUUAAUGGAGCCUAUUCUUUGCUUGGCUUGCGAUGUCAUUUGGAAGCUGCCUGGCUUUGCAUCACUCUAACCAGACGAGGCUAGGUCACAAUGACUCCAGUCUCCGCUGAGAAAAUGCCCACAUGUGACAUGAAGAACAUUAGACUUCCUAACAUGGAUGAGUCCAUGAUGCCUACCGUCAUGGGCUGGCCUACAUCCCCUACUCCCUCAUUCAUGUACUGAAGUCCUAACCUCAGAAUGUGACUGCAUUUGGGGACAGAGUCUUUAAAGAGAUCAUUCCAAGUAAGUAUGGUCACUGGGAUGAGCCUAUAAUCCAAUAUGACUGAUGUCCUUAGGAGAUGAGGACAUUAGGACACAGACAUGCCAAGAAGAAGACCUUAGGAAGACACUGACAGAAGACAGCAUGUGCAAGUCAGGAAAGAGGCCUUAGAAGAAACCACCCUUCCAACACUGAUUUUGGACUUCCUCCCUCCAGGGCUAUGAGAAAAUACAUUUCUGUGGUUUAGGCCACCAGGUCUGUCGUACUUCGUUAUGACAGCCUAAGCCAGCUAGAACACCCACCAGGCAACUGCUAAGCUUUCGAAAUACAAAGUCAUUUUGAAGCAGUGCUUCUAAAUUCCUAGAGGAUGAUCCAUAGAGAAUAUGUAGAUACUCAAAUUUAUUUACUCUGCAAAAGUUUGUUGAGCACUGGGCCAAGCACAAAGUUUUGGGUAGGAAGACAUAGCCCUGUCUUCAUGGAGCUUGCGACUAAAGGAGGAAGUGGACACAAAUCCAAACUCCUGGGAAGCAUCAUCUUAGUCGAGAUGAACAAUUAGAGGGACAGCAGCCCAGUGUGAUGACAGUGGGACAAGAUGCCUGCCAACUCAGCGGCAUAGAGAGGUCUCCUUGAAGUGGUAUGUGAGGCUCAGAAGCAGUGUAAGUAAGAUUUUAAGCAAAAGUAUGGUGAGCAAAGGAAAUAUGGUUCCCAAGAGCUUCUCAGGUAUUCUACAGAACUCCAGUGCCAAGGGCUCCAAGCUCACGACUGGGAUGCCAGAGGUCCAUGCUGCCAUUACCAGGACUCAGGAGCAGAUCUGGAGUGGUCAACCAAACUGCCCCAAAUCAUGUUGAUAAUAAGAAACAGGACAAAGAGCUGAAGUGAGGUUUGUCGAAUUCUCCUUUCAACAACAAAAUCGAAGUCCAUAGCUUCACCCCUCCUGUCUUCUUUCUAGAAACUGGAACUGUACCCGUGAUUCCGUCUGACUGAGCAUUCACUCACCUCCUCUCCAGAGGCCAUCAGCCACCCCAGAUCUUGACACUCUCCUAUAUUCCCUUUCCUCCAAACAUGUCUGUGUCUUCUCCAAUCAGCGUGAGUCCAGUAAGUGUUUACAGAUGGUGCGUUUAGUACCAAAAGUUCAGAAGACACCCAACCAACCAGAAUUCCCACGACUGCAGGAAAGUUUUAAAAUGUUUAUUAUUUAGAGUCUACUGGAGGUAAAACUCACCCGUUCUCUCUCAAGUUUCCAUGAGAAAGCACUUUACUAAGCUACCACACCACUGCAUUUCCUCCUCUUCUUCUGUAAAAAUUAUAAAUCUCUGUACCAUUUCCCACAACAUUUAACAGGCGACUAUUUAAACUAAGAAAUGUCUUGUGGAUAUAAAUGCCAGGCUCAUAUAACUAAGUAUGUCAUAUUAAAUAAUACCCUAGACUUCCUGUAUCUGCCUAACAGUACUGUAAAUAUAAGUAAAAAAAAAAAAGUAAUAAUUUAUGAAAACUGAUUUGCAUUUCCAAAUAUAAAAUGUGUAAAAAUCCAACUAAUUAGCAAGAGUGAGGG